GUAGCAAACAGGAUUAGAUACCCUGGUAGUCCACGCCGUAAACGAUGUCGACCAGCCGUUGGGUGCCUAGCGCACUUUGUGGCGAAGUUAACGCGAUAAGUCGACCGCCUGGGGAGUACGGCCGCAAGGUUAAAACUCAAAUGAAUUGACGGGGGCCCGCACAAGCGGUGGAGCAUGUGGUUUAAUUCGAUGCAACGCGAAGAACCUUACCUACUCUUGACAUCCUGCGAACUUGUGAGAGAUCACUUGGUGCCUUCGGGAGCGCAGAGACAGGUGCUGCAUGGCUGUCGUCAGCUCGUGUUGUGAAAUGUUGGGUUAAGUCCCGUAACGAGCGCAACCCUUGUCCUUAUUUGCCAGCGGGUAAUGCCGGGAACUCUAAGGAGACUGCCGGUGACAAACCGGAGGAAGGUGGGGACGACGUCAAGUCAUCAUGGCCCUUACGAGUAGGGCUACACACGUGCUACAAUGGCCGGUACAAAGGGUUGCGAGCUCGCGAGAGUCAGCUAAUCCCGAAAAGCCGGUCUCAGUCCGGAUCGGAGUCUGCAACUCGACUCCGUGAAGUCGGAAUCGCUAGUAAUCGUGAAUCAGAAUGUCACGGUGAAUACGUUCCCGGGCCUUGUACACACCGCCCGU
rnacentral:rRNA from 1 species